rnacentral:rRNA from 1 species
GAUGAACGCUGGCGGCGUGCCUAAUACAUGCAAGUCGAGCGAACGGACGAGAAGCUUGCUUCUCUGAUGUUAGCGGCGGACGGGUGAGUAACACGUGGAUAACCUACAUAUAAGACUGGGAUAACUUCGGGAAACCGUAGCUAAUACCGGUUAAUAUUUUGAACCGCAUGGUUCAAAAGUGAAAGACGGUCUUGCUGUCACUUAUAGAUGGUACCGCGCUGCAUUAGCUAGUUGGUAAGGUAACGGCUUACCAAGGCAACGAUGCAUAGCCGACCUGAGAGGAUGAUCAGCCACACUGGAACUGAGACACGGUCCAGACUCCUACGGGAGGCAGCAGUAGGGAAUCUUGCGCAAUGGGCGAAAGCCUGACGGAGCAACGCCGCGUGAGUGAUGAAGGUCUUCGGAUCGUAAAGCUCUGUUAUUAGGGAAGAACAGAAGUGUAAGUAACUGUGCACGUCUUGACGUUACCUAAUCAGAAAGCCACGGCUAACUACGUG